CAUUAAGAAGCUAUGAACCAGCAUUAGCCUUUUAAGCUAAAGAAAGAGGGACCUCCCCUCCUUAAUGA
rnacentral:tRNA from 2 species